CCCCUUCCCCUUCUCCCCUCCUCCUGCCCCCCUCCCCCCUUCCCUCCUCCCCGGCGUUCCGCCUCAGGCGGGCGCACUUCUCCCGCAGCCAUCCGCACUUACCCGGCCAGGACCUGGGGCUCCGUUAGCGGCGAUGGGAGCCGAGCCUAGAGGCGGAGAGCGGCGGAGAGCUGGGCCACCGCACACGGCCCGCGCCCGGGCCCGCCCCUUCCCUCCCGGCAGGGGGAGUGUCCGCGCGCCUCCCCCCGGCCCCGCGCCCAUGUGCGGUGCUCCGCGCCAGCUCUCGGGGCCUGGCAGGCUGGCCGGAACCCUGCACGCGGGCGGGCAGCCUCUUUGUUAGCAUGUUUGUUGCCUUUCUGCAUGCGUUUCAGAGCACGCAGAGCGAAUUAAGUGCAGUUAGGGGCACUGUGCGGCUGCUGGGGGAAACCAUCUGCGGGGAGCGGCGGAAGGGAUGGACUUGGGGCACUCUGAAGGGCCGCUCCAGCUCCACAGCUUCCCGAGGGAUCCGAGGAGGCCUCAGUGGAAAGCAGCGCAGUUCGGGUUCAGUCUCUGCCUAGUCCUGUUUCCCUCACUCUCUCAAGAACUCACCGAAGAAGGGAGAAGUUUGAGAAUCCGUCUAUGAAUAGGGAAACGGGGCUUUGGCUUGGACUAGAAAAGGUAUGAGAAAGUUGAGAUAUGAGUUGGAAGUAUCCCGUUUUGAUUUUUGUUCUGUGUUCAUAGGGGGAACAAGGUUUAUUUGUCAGAUUGGGUGCUCCAGAGAAGGAACCGAGAGUGCGCUGUGAUGAUGCACAGGGCAACUCCUGCUUGUACAAACUCCCAUCUUUGUAGUUUCCCUUGAGCUCUGAGCACUGGCUGCGUCACCAACAGGUGGAUGGAGCUGCUGUGUCUGGGCCUCAUUUCCUGCAUCUGAAAACUGGGAGAGUAGUUCCUUUUUUGGAAAAAUAGGAGGGGCCAGGGAAAUCCCAAAUUUGGAGACUGGUGCCCCUCAGCCAGGCCUGUAGUUCAUCUGCUGUCCCUGCUGGGUGCCAGCAGCUUCUGCAUUCGGUCCACACUCUGGCGUCAUUUGCCUGCCUUUAUAUCUGAUAGAGAGAUCUGUCAUGGGAUGCAAGAGUGAGGGAAGUUCUAGAGACUCCUUUAUAAAUGUAAGAAUAAUAAUACUUAGGCAUCCUUGCUUUUAUCUAAAAUGGCCUAUAUCUCUUGCUACUUGGAGGUUCAAGAUAGAUCUUUGAGACCCCUGCAUGUCAGCACAGGGCCUGAUAGCCUCUCCAGGCAGCAACAGUAUCCCUAGAAGUGGAGUCACAGGAAAUACCAUGGUAACUGUGGCUUCGUUUUGAGGAUGGUUACACAAGGGCGUGCGCGCAUGCGU
rnacentral:lncRNA from 1 species